rnacentral:rRNA from 1 species
UAAGGAGCGAAUACAUACAGGGCAUUGUCUUGUAAUUGGAAUGAUGGUGACGUAAAAUCUCACCAGAGUAACAAUUGGAGGGCAAGUCUGGUGCCAGCAGCCGCGGUAAUUCCAGCUCCAAUAGCGUAUAUUAAACUUGUUGCAGUUAAAAAGCUCGUAGUUGAAUUUCUGCGUUGCCCGACUCGGCUACUUGCCUUGUCUGGUUUCGCUUUUGGGGUUUUCCCCUUUUUACUUUGAGAAAAUUAGAGUGUUUCAAGCAGACUUGUGUCUUGAAUACUUCAGCAUGGAAUAAUAAAGUAGGACUUUGGUUCUAUUUUGUUGGUUUGUGAACCUUAGUAAUGGUUAAUAGGAACGGUUGGGGGCAUUCGUAUUUAAA